ensembl:rRNA 5S_rRNA 5S ribosomal RNA
CUCCAUGACCAAACAGCCCUGGACAUGCCCAGUCUUAUCUGAUCUUGGAAGCUAAGCAGGGUCAGACAUACUGCGUAUUGGAUAGGAGACUGCCUGGAAAUACCCUGUGCUGUAGGCU